AAUGGGAGGAAAAGAAACCAACCGGGAUUGCCUUAGUAACGGCGAGUGAAGCGGCAAAAGCUCAAAUUUGAAAUCUGGUACCUUCGGUGCCCGAGUUGUAAUUUGGAGAGGGCAACUUUGGGGCCGUUCCUUGUCUAUGUUCCUUGGAACAGGACGUCAUAGAGGGUGAGAAUCCCGUGUGGCGAGGAGUGCGGUUCUUUGUAAAGUGCCUUCGAAGAGUCGAGUUGUUUGGGAAUGCAGCUCUAAGUGGGUGGUAAAUUCCAUCUAAAGCUAAAUAUUGGCGAGAGACCGAUAGCGAACAAGUACAGUGAUGGAAAGAUGAAAAGAACUUUGAAAAGAGAGUGAAAAAGUACGUGAAAUUGUUGAAAGGGAAGGGCAUUUGAUCAGACAUGGUGUUUUGUGCCCUCUGCUCCUUGUGGGUAGGGGAAUCUCGCAUUUCACUGGGCCAGCAUCAGUUUUGGUGGCAGGAUAAAUCCAUAGGAAUGUAGCUUGCCUCGGUAAGUAUUAUAGCCUGUGGGAAUACUGCCAGCUGGGACUGAGGACUGCGACGUAAGUCAAGGAUGCUGGCAUAAUGGUUAUAUGCCGCCCGUCUU
rnacentral:rRNA from 1 species